rnacentral:rRNA from 1 species
UAGGGAAUCUUCGGCAAUGGACGAAAGUCUGACCGAGCAACGCCGCGUGAGUGAAGAAGGUUUUCGGAUCGNAAAACUCUGUUGUUAGAGAAGAACAAGGAUGAGAGUAAAAUGUUCAUCCCUUGACGGUAUCUAACCAGAAAGCCACGGCUAACUACGUGCCAGCAGCCGCGGUAAUCGUAGGUGGCAAGCGUUGUCCGGAUUUAUUGGGCGUAAAGCGAGCGCAAGGCCGGUUUCUUAAGUCUGAUGUGAAAGCCCCCGGCUCAACCGGGAGGUCAUGGAAACUGGGAGACUUGAGUGCAGAAGAGGAGAGUGGAAUUCCAUGUGUAGCGGUGAAAUGCGUAGAUAUAUGGAGGAACACCAGUGGCGAAGGCGGCUCUCUGGUCUGUAACUGACGCUGAGGCU